AAGAUAAUCAUAAUGUAACAUAAGGAAUUACUUACAUCACUACCUUGAAAAACUCACACAAAUUGUCAAACUAAUAUUUUACACAUCAUUAUUACUCAUUUAUAUUCGAAAGUACACAUAACAUAAAUAAUUUUUAAAUGUUGUUUUCUAAGUCCACCAAAAAUUCAGAAUUCAUAAUAUGCAAUUGUAGGUCAAGUGGUUAACCAACAACUAAGCAAUUAAAAUCAAUUACAGAUGGCAGGUAAACCUUAAGUACAAAGUAUGUAGGUUAUUGCAAAACCAUCGAUACACUAGUCAUCAUCAUCCUAUCCAAUGUAUUUCGUUUAUAGAAAAACUAUAGAUAAGGUCUGAAGAGGGAAGGACGGCGGCAACUCAUACCCAUAAAGGAGAGCGCGGUCAAAGAAAUCCCCCAGCUCGAGAAAGAUAAAGAGACGUAACUACACGGGAAAGAUAUGUUAAAUGCCUAUAAAUAAAAUAAAUAAGUAGAACCAGUUUCAAUGGUCAUUUAUAUUAAUUCUUCUUCAUGUCAUUCUUUUCCACUCCAAUUCUUUAAGUCCUCUUUAGUACAUCGCCCUCUUUUUAAAUCUUUUGAGCUGCAACUUUUUAUCUUCUUUAAAAAUUCGCUAAAAGAUUCUCUUUUAUCUUUUCCUCGAUAUUUAUAGCCUUUAAACCCUUUUGUGUAUCAUUGUUUCGAAUCAUAUCUCUCAAGGUCUACUCAUUCAUCAUAGCAUUUGCAUUUUUGCUUCUCAUAUCUUCCUCCUAUGGUCCUUUUUAAAAGUCCAACGUUUGAAUCCAUUUAGUUAAUAGAAUAGAAUAUUGUGCAUAAUUUGUAAAUCUUUAUUUUUGCUAACUAUUUUGUAAUUAGCUAAUUUCCUUACUCUCAAAGAUUACUCUUGUAACUAGUUUUCUUGCUCUCUAACAUUACUCUUGUAGCUAGUUUCCUUGCUCUCCAACAUUACUCUUGUAUUUAUUUUUUCAUUUUGAAAUGAAAUGACAACCAAUCAUUCUACCAAUUCUAUCAUUAGUAGGGUUGGGUUAGAUCGUUCAAUAAAACUUACUCUUUAGCUAUAAGAGCACACCUUGAUCACAUCAUAUUCCCCUAACCGCUCUCCAUUUUUACCAACCACAUUUAAUUUUAUGGGCUACAAUAUGUUUGAUGUCUCCACUGCACUUCUAUAUAAACCUAAGGUAUUUAAAUCAUCCACUUGAAGUGAUGUAUUUUUCUUCUACCUUUAUAGUGUCUCUCAUUAUGUCGUUUUUUCCAAAGUAAUACUUCAUGUAUCUUAUUUUACUUCGUUUUAAUUUAAAUCCUGACUCUAAUUUUUGUCUCUAUCUCAUUCUAACUUAACAUUUACACUUUCUCUGAUCUCAUUUGCCAAAUUUUUGGUACCUUGUCGUUUAGCUUGUGUAAACGUUAAAUUUGUUUCAAUGGUUAUAAUUAAGAUUCCAAACCAAUAGUCCAAUAUUACUGUUUAUAAUUUAAUACAAAUCUGACUAUUUUAUUUUAUAUUAUUAUGAAAUUGAAAAGAAUAAUUAGUAUUUUAUUAUCACGUUGAACACUGACCUCACAAAAUAUCCACACGUUUUAGAGGGCCUUGUGUGGGCGGUGGGCACCAAAUGGUCUCACCAAACUCCCCUUCUGACAGGUUUGUAACAGACAUUACUACUUUUAUUAUAUACGAAAACAUAAUCACAAUUUAUUUAGAUUAAGGAAAAGAACGAAUAUUAACAAUUGACAACUUAUUUUAGGAAAUUAUUAUAAUUUAUAAAAUUUAUUGAUUAAUAGCAAAUAUAAAUAUUAAGGAGGGGGAAGGUGGAGGUGGAAUAGGUAAGGAGGGGUGGUUCAUAGCAUUGAAUUGAACUGAAGGAAAUAUAAAAUUUAUUGAUAUAUCAUUUAAUUAAAUUGGAAUUAAAUGCAAAAUUAAUUGGUGCAGUUGAGACUUACAAAGAAUUAUGUGAGUUUCGUCAUCUAGGCUUUAGUAACACACUUCAUAAUUUUUUAUGAAAAGAUGGUUUGGAGAAAUAUUUGUAAAUGGAAAAUUUAUUGUGAAUAAUUCAACCUCUUUUUAAUUAUCUGUUAAUAAUUUUAUUUUUUGAAAAUUUUGUAAUAAUCUAACAUUUGUUUUCAAUUUGUUGCCAAUAGACCCUUUAGAAAAUGACCUGCUGUAUCAGGUUAACUCUCAUUUUCUUUUCCUUUAUAAUAAUCCAACUUAUUUUCUAUUAUCUGCCAAUAAUCCCACAUUUUGAAAUUUUUUUUAAUAAUUCAACUUUUGUUUGCAUUUUGUUGCCAACACUACUAAAAACAUAGAGUUUAUGAAAGCUUGGUUUUAGACACUUGAACAACCGCCUAAAAAAACGGUGAUUUUUGACGCUUUAUUUUCGACGCUUAAAUGAGUUGAAAUUUAACAAAGAAAAAGCGUCCAAAAAAAAAAAAGAAACUGGCAUUAAAAAUUCUUAAAAAAAUAGUAUCAAAACGCGGGUCUUAAAAUUUCAAUUCAGACAUAAACGAAACCGCCUCCUUCAAUUCCUCACAUAUCAGUCAACAGCAAGGGAGAAGGAGAAACCCUAUUCUUCAAUUCGCCUCCACACGCGCAGCAAUCAUCAUCCUCAAAUCAGAUUAUCAUCAGGUUUGUUUUCGUGCUUCCUCAUCGGGCAGCACACCGGACUUCCAGUCUUCAUCCGGCAGAACAAUUGAACGUUUCCUCCGGCAGCCGUACCCCCCCGUACCAGUCUUCUUCAUUCUCUCAAUUGCACUAUCAGGAUGUCUCAAUAUAUUGUGGUCCAAGUCCAUAUGCUAAAAGAAUGAAGGGUCAUAUGAUUAAUGGUUUCAAGUUCAAGACAUUUGCUAGUGAAAGAUCUCGUAAAACUCAAAAUAGUGGAGUGAUGGUGGCUGCCGAUGGAAUUAAGCGCUAUGGAAGAUUAACAGAUAUACUUGAAGUUGACUACUUUGAAUCCUAUAAAGUCGUGGUUUAUCGUUGUGAUUGGGUGGAUAGUAAUUGGGAUAGACUAUAGUGGUUCUAGAACUCGAGUGAGCUUUUCAAAGUUGAUUCACACGGGCCGUUUUUUAACUAAUGAGCCAUUUGUUAUUUCUAGUCAAGCUACACAAGUUUUUUAUGUUAAGGAUAAAUCAAAAAAUGGUUGGAAUUAUGUAGUUGAAACUAAGCCUAGGGACUUGUUUGAUGUUUGAUGUCAUAUGCAUAUUUGAUACAAAUUGUGUAUUUAUUAUUGAUUGUUUUUAUGAUUGAGCAGAGAUAAUAGAGAAUGAGCCUCCCAAAUUAGGAAUAAUGGAGGGGACUAUAGUUGCUAAGCAUGUUUGGUGCUUACCAUCAGGAAGAAGGAUCAUUGUUCAUUGUAAUGAAUAUGAUCAACCAAUUAGAAGGGGGGACUUGUACUUGUUCAUUUUCUAUCUGAAUUGUCAAAAGAUGAAACCUUUUGUCUACUUGGAGCACAAAAUUGGAAGCGUGUUGAUGAUCAUUACAAGCAAAGGAUCAUUAAAACGGUUUGGGUAUGCAUUAAACAUUCUUUAUUAUUAUAAUUUGAUAUUACUAUUCUCAACAUAUGCUUAUUUGACAAAAGAGAUUCUCACCAUAUGUAUAGGAUAAAUUUGUGUUACCUGAUACAAAUGAGUUUCAUUGAAUGAUAUUGUCACAUAUAAAUAUGAAGUGGAAGCAUUACAAGUGGGAGCUUCAAAGGGACUAUUAUCAGCCUAAUGUGACUAAGGAGAAGAUAAUUGAGAAUAUGCCUAAAAAUGUGAUUAAAGAGCAGUGGAUUAGCUUGGUUUCUUACUGGGCCUCAAAAAAGUUCAAGAAAUUAUCAACACUAGGAAAAAGAGCUCGUGAAAUGCAUAAUCAUGUACAUACUACAGGGUCAAAAGAUUUAAGCCCAAUGGAAAACUGAAUUUGUAAGUGUGAAUACAAUUAUUGUUAUUGCUUAUAAUGAGACAAUUGCAUUUGCUUGUUUUUUAUGUUGCUAGGUUACUUAAAUUUUAUUUAGAUGCCUAUAUUUGUGAUAAUUCGUUACUUUUAAAUAGGUUAAGUUGAAUCACAGAGAACCUAGUGUGUUAGAAAUGUGAAAACGUACACACACUACAAAGAGUGGUGGUUAUGUAGAGGGUACAUCCACUCAAGAAUUCAUGGUAUAUUAGAGUAGUGAAUAGAAAACAUUUAUCAUUAUGAUUAAUGUGAUUGCAUAUUUCAUUUAUACUUUUGUAUUGUUAUAGGACAUUGCUGAAAAUAGGGUUAAUGAACGUUUACGUGAUUCGAAACAACCACGUGAGGUGAUUGAGACAGAGGUUUUUAAUGAGAUGAUGUAUCAACAAGACAAACCUAAUCAGUGUGUUGUUGGUUAUGUUCAUGGUGUUAGUAGAUCUCACGUGUUUGGUAUUGAAGCUCAAUUACAUAACAACAAGAUAGGUGAUUGUGGUGGUACUUCAAGUGAUGCUAUGGGGCUCAAAUCCUACCUAUUGUCUGUUGAGAGAAAAAGUGAUGAGGUUAUGAGAAAAAAUGAUGAUGUUAUGAGAAAAAAUGAUGAGAUUAUUUCCCAAUUACAAAAAAGAAAUGAUGAGGUUACUUCCUAACUUUUGAAAAAAAAUGAAGAAGUUGAAGAACUAAGAGCUCAAAAUCAAAAAAUUCUCACUCAGCUUGCAUUUGUCUUAGAUCAAUUAUAACAAAAUCAAAGGACAAGUAAGAAUCAUUAUUAUUUUAAUCAUCCAUCGAAUCUUUUUCAUAUUACUUUUUAGUGCUUAUGGUAGAAGUGUAGUUUCUAGUUUUUUUAUGUUAUGUGUAAUUUUGCUUGCAAUUGGAUGAAAUAGAUAUUCAUGGGGAGUUUGGUAAUAAAGGUAAUCCCAUAUUUAAAAAUAAUUGUUUCCCUUGAAUCACAAACGGGGAGUAUGUAUUUUGGCUAAAGUUUGUGCAUUUUGUUUGAUUUGUUGCUGAUUUUUGCAGCUGAUGUUCAUAUUAUGACCAACAAAUCAUCUUUUGCGAAGGUCUUAACACUAGAGUGGAAAUUGCAACAUAAUGAAAAUAAUUCUGCAGGCCUUCAACUUUUGACAAACUUUUAACUUUUAAAUUUUGCUCUCUUAAACAUCAAUGAAUAUAUAUGUGUAUGUGAAUAUUGAUCAAAAUAGGCACCUAUGUUUCUUGGACUUUUUUGACCAAGCUACAAAAACUUAAGGUCAAAGCUACAUCAACGAAUGUAUGUGCGUAUAUGAAUAUCAAAUGCUAAUACUUUUGUGGAUAUGAUUGAUUUGGUAUGAUAUUCAUUAGUAAUUAUGUAUGUUUGAUGAAUUUAAUAUAGUAUGGAAAAUAAAUACAUUUUCAACGCAUGUAAAUGUCUAAAGCAUAUAUCUAGAUAUAAAGGGCUUUAAAGGGUUUAUAUUCAUUUAGAUGUAUAAAAGUGUCUAAAAUAUUAAGCACUAUCCACAUGAAAAAGCGUCUAAAAAAUUUAGCAUUUCGACACAAAAAAGCAUCGAAAAUAUUCAGCAUUUUCCACGCUUCAAAGUGUCUAAAAAUGUGAGAUUGUGGUCUGGAUUUAAGGUGGAAAAUCUUUUUUCCCACGGUAAAAAGUGUCGGAAAACAUAUAUAACAUCCACUGUAAAAAGCGUCGAAAAAAAAGCGUUGAAAAUUUGUAACUACAAUGUUUUAGACGCUUCGUCAACCGUCGAAAAUAUAUUUUUUGACGGUUAAACCGUCGAAAAAACCAUAGUUUUUCCGUCGAAAAGCUCCGUGUUUUUUAGUAGUGCAAUGGACCUUCAAGAAGCUAAAUACUCAACUUCUCUUUGCCACUAGUUUUUAAUAAUCCAACAUAUCUCAUCCAUACAUGUUAAGUCUU